rnacentral:rRNA from 1 species
UACAGAGGAGCCAAGCGUUGUCCGGAUUGACUGGGCGUAAAGCGCACGCAGGCGGUCGCGCGCGUGGGGUGUGAAAUCUGGCCGCUUAACGGCCAGGCGCCAUCCCAUACGGCACGACUGGAGUGAUGCAGAGGUCGAUGGAAUUGCCGGUGUAGUGGUGAAAUGCGUAGAGAUCGGCAGGAACACCCAGGGGGAAACCAGUCGACUGGGCAUCUACUGACGCUGAGGUGCGAAAGCGUGGGGAGCGAACAGG